rnacentral:rRNA from 1 species
GACGAACGCUGGCGGCGUGCUUAACACAUGCAAGUCGAGCGAUGAAGUUCCUUCGGGAAUGGAUUAGCGGCGGACGGGUGAGUAACACGUGGGUAACCUGCCUCAUAGGGGGGAAUAGCCUUUCGAAAGGAAGAUUAAUACCGCAUAAGAUUGUAGUAUCGCAUGAUACAGCAAUUAAAGGAGUAAUCCGCUAUGAGAUGGACCCGCGUCGCAUUAGCUAGUUGGUGAGGUAACGGCUCACCAAGGCGACGAUGCGUAGCCGACCUGAGAGGGUGAGCGGCCCCAUUGGGACUGAGGCACGGCCCAGACUCCUACGGGAGGCAGCAGUGGGGAAUAUUGCACAAUGGGGGAAACCCUGAUGCAGCAACGCCGCGUGAGUGAUGACGGUCUUCGGAUUGUAAAACUCUGUCUUCAGGGACGAUAAUGACGGUACCUGAGGAGGAAGCCACGGCUAACUACGUGCCAGCCGCCGCAGUAA